rnacentral:rRNA from 1 species
GAUGAACGCUGGCGGCGUGCCUAAUACAUGCAAGUCGAACGAGGUGCUUUUGUAGCAAUACGGAAGUAUCCUAGUGGCGAACGGGUGAGUAACGCGUUGGUGACCUGCCCCAAAGUGUGGGAUAACAGUUCGAAAGAACUGCUAAUACCGCAUGUGAUCAUUGGAUUUAGAAACUGAUGAUUAAAGCAGUAAUGCGCUUUGGGAGGGACCUGCGUCCCAUCAGCUAGUUGGUGAGGUAAUGGCUCACCAAGGCGACGACGGGUAGGGGACCUGAGAGGGUGGCCCCCCACAAUGGAACUGAAACACGGUCCAUACACCUACGGGUGGCAG